rnacentral:sRNA from 1 species
ACAAAACCGCGUGAGGGAUAGUAGUGGAACUCUUUUUUGUUGGUUUUUUACCAAGAAAAAAAGUGGGAGCGAAUAGCCCGACCCUUU